rnacentral:rRNA from 1 species
UGUGAGCUCGAUGAGUAGGGCGGGACACGUGGUAUCCUGUCUGAAUAUGGGGGGACCAUCCUCCAAGGCUAAAUACUCCUGACUGACCGAUAGUGAACCAGUACCGUGAGGGAAAGGCGAAAAGAACCCCGGCGAGGGGAGUGAAAAAGAACCUGAAACCGUGUACGUACAAGCAGUGGGAGCACCCUUUGGGGUGUGACUGCGUACCUUUUGUAUAAUGGGUCAGCGACUUAUAUUCUGUAGCAAGGUUAACCGAAUAGGGGAGCCGGAGGGAAACCGAGUCUUAAUUGGGCGUUAAGUUGCAGGGUAUAGACCCGAAACCCGGUGAUCUAGCCAUGGGCAGGUUGAAGGUUGGGUAACACUAACUGGAGGACCGAACCGACUAAUGUUGAAAAAUUAGCGGAUGACCUGUGGCUGGGGGUGAAAGGCCAAUCAAACCGGGAGAUAGCUGGUUCUCCCCGAAAGCUAUUUAGGUAGCGCCUCGUGAAUUCAUCUCCGGGGGUAGAGCACUGUUUCGGCUAGGGGGCCAUCCCGGCUUACCAACCCGAUGCAAACUGCGAAUACCGGAGAAUGUUAUCACGGGAGACACACGGCGGGUGCUAACGUCCGUCGUGAAGAGGGAAACAACCCAGACCGCCAGCUAAGGUCCCAAAGUCAUGGUUAAGUGGGAAACGAUGUGGGAAGGCCCAGACAGCCAGGAUGUUGGCUUAGAAGCAGCCAUCAUUUAAAGAAAGCGUAAUAGCUCACUGGUCGAGUCGGCCUGCGCGGAAGAUGUAACGGGGCUAAACCAU